rnacentral:rRNA from 1 species
AUGAACGCUAGCUACAGGCUUAACACAUGCAAGUCGAGGGGCAUCAGGAAGAAAGCUUGCUUUCUUUGCUGGCGACCGGCGCACGGGUGAGUAACACGUAUCCAACCUGCCCUUUACUCGGGGAUAGCCUUUCGAAAGAAAGAUUAAUACCCGAUAGCAUAAUGAUUCCGCAUGGUUUCAUUAUUAAAGGAUUCCGGUAAAGGAUGGGGAUGCGUUCCAUUAGGUUGUUGGUGAGGUAACGGCUCACCAAGCCUUCGAUGGAUAGGGGUUCUGAGAGGAAGGUCCCCCACAUUGGAACUGAGACACGGUCCAAACUCCUACGGGAGGCAGCAGUGAGGAAUAUUGGUCAAUGGGCGCUAGCCUGAACCAGCCAAGUAGCGUGAAGGAUGAAGGCUCUAUGGGUCGUAAACUUCUUUUAUAUAAGAAUAAAGUGCAGUAUGUAUACUGUUUUGUAUGUAUUAUAUGAAUAAGGAUCGGCUAACUCCGUGCCAGCAGCCGCGGUAAUACGGAGGAUCCGAGCGUUAUCCGGAUUUAUUGGGUUUAAAGGGAGCGUAGGUGGACUGGUAAGUCAGUUGUGAAAGUUUGCGGCUCAACCGUAAAAUUGUAGUUGAUACUGUCAGUCUUGAGUACAGUAGAGGUGGGCGGAAUUCGUGGUGUAGCGGUGAAAUGCUUAGAUAUCACGAAGAACUCCGAUUGCGAAGGCAGCUCACUGGACUGCAACUGACACUGAUGCUCGAAAGUGUGGGUAUCAAACAGGAUUAGAUACCCUGGUAGUCCACACAGUAAACGAUGAAUACUCGCUGUUUGCGAUAUACAGUAAGCGGCCAAGCGAAAGCAUUAAGUAUUCCACCUGGGGAGUACGCCGGCAACGGUGAAACUCAAAGGAAUUGACGGGGGCCCGCACAAGCGGAGGAACAUGUGGUUUAAUUCGAUGAUACGCGAGGAACCUUACCCGGGCUUAAAUUGCAGUGGAAUGAUGUGGAAACAUGUCAGUGAGCAAUCACCGCUGUGAAGGUGCUGCAUGGUUGUCGUCAGCUCGUGCCGUGAGGUGUCGGCUUAAGUGCCAUAACGAGCGCAACCCUUAUCUUUAGUUACUAACAGGUUAUGCUGAGGACUCUAGAGAGACUGCCGUCGUAAGAUGUGAGGAAGGUGGGGAUGACGUCAAAUCAGCACGGCCCUUACGUCCGGGGCUGCACACGUGUUACAAUGGGGGGUACAGAAGGCGGCUACCUGGUGACAGGAUGCUAAUCCCAAAAACCUCUCUCAGUUCGGAUCGAAGUCUGCAACCCGACUUCGUGAAGCUGGAUUCGCUAGUAAUCGCGCAUCAGCCACGGCGCGGUGAAUACGUUCCCGGGCCUUGUACACACCGCCCGUCAAGCCAUGGGAGCCGGGGGUACCUGAAGUACGUAACCGCAAGGAUCGUCCUAGGGUAAAACUGGUGACUGGGGCU